CCAAAGUAAUAAGGGCAUACGGUGGAUGCCUAGCCAGCUAGAGGCGAAGAAGGACGUGGCCAGCUGCGAAAAGCUGCGGGGAGCUGCAAGCGAGCAAAGAUCCGCAGAUAUCCGAAUGGGGAAACCUGCCGAAAGGCAUCCUGAAAAGGAAGCGAAACUGGGGAAGGGAAACAUCUUAGUACCCAGGCGAAAAGAAAUCAAACGAGAUUCCCUAAGUAGUGGCGAGCGAAAGGGGAAGAGCCCAAACACAUACGAUGGAAAAGCGGACAGGCGUUGUCGUAUGUGGGUAGAGGGAUCCAGCUACCCGACUGUCCGAUAGGGGGCUGAGGAAAUAAGGUAAGUGGAAAGGAUUGGGAAAUCCUACCGAAGAGGGUGAAAGUCCCGUACACGUAAACUUAUGACACAGCUGCUGGAAUCCCAAGUAGCGUGGGACACGAGAAAUCCCGCGUGAAUCCGGGUGGACCUCCAUCCAAGGCUAAAUACUCUAGCAGAGCGAUAGAGGAUAAGUACCGUGAGGGAAAGGUGAAAAGCACCCCGGGAGGGGAGUGAAAGAGAACCUGAAACCGUAUGCCUACAGGAAGCGGGAGCGGAAGUGACCGCGUUCCUUUUGAUUAAUGAGCCUGCGAGUUAUGUUUAAUGGCGAGGUUAAGCCGGAGAAGGUGAAGCCGCAGGGAAACCGAGUAUGAAUAGUGCGAAAGUCAUUAGACAUAGACCCGAAGCCAGGUGAGCUACCCAUGCGCAGGGUGAAGCUUGGGUAAAACCAAGUGGAGGCCCGAACUGGUGGAUAGUGAAAAAUUCUCAGAUGACGUGUGGGUAGGAGUGAAAAGCUAAACGAACCUGGAGAUAGCUGGUUCUCCCCGAAACGUGUGUAGGCACGGCCUCUGUAGAAGAAAGUUAAGGAGGUAGAGCACUGGAUGGCGUAGGGGGGUGACCUCUGAAACCAACCAAACUCCGAAUGCCUUAACUGGAUGACAGGGAGAAAGACUGUGGGGUAUAAGCUUCAUGGUCGAGAGGGAAAAAGCCCAGACCGACAGCUAAGGUUCCGAAGAAGUGGCUAAGUGGGAAAGGAAGUGGACCUCUUGAGACAGUCGGGAGGUUGGCUUAGAAGCAGCCAACCUUUAAAGAGUGCGUAACAGCUCACCGAUAGAAGGGGACUGCGCCGAAAAUGAAACGGAGCUAAAGCCACACACCGAAGCUACGGUAUAACCGAAAGGUUAUAGGUAGGGGAGCGUUGUGCGAUAGGGAGAAGGGUGAUUGAGAAGUCAUCUGGACGAAGCACAAGAGAGAAUGCAGGCAUGAGUAACGAGAUGGGAGUGAGAAUCUCCCACCCCUAAAGUCUAAGGGUACCUGGGGAAGGGUCGUCCGCCCAGGGUAAGCCGGGACCUAAGGUGAACUCGAAAGAGGUAACCGAUGGACAACGGGUAAAGAAUCCCGUGCCUGUAUAUAACGAGUUACAAGGGGUGACACAGGAGGUGAAGCUGCCGAGAUUAAGUUGCAAGUCUUCCAAGCGACGAUGCCUGAGAAGCCGGUAGGGAAAACCGCCGGUGGAGGAGGAGUCGUGAUGGGGAGGCCGUAAGGCCAACGGUGGCUAAUCAAACUGUCGAGAAAAGCCUCGUGUAGCGUAUGAGUUAUAUACAGCCCGUUCUGCAAACCGACACAGGUAGACUGGCUUAGAAGGCUAAGGGGAGCGGAAUAACCUUCGUUAAGGAACUAGGCAAAAAGGCCCCGUAACUUCGGGAGAAGGGGUGGACUGUGCUGGUGGAAACGCUGGUACAGAGCCGCAGUGACAAGUCCCUAGCGACUGUUUACCAAAAACACAGGUCUCUGCGAACACGGAAGUGGACGUAUAGGGACUGACGCCUGCCCAGUGCCGGAAGGUUAAGGGGAGGGGUGAAAGCUCCGAACUGAAGCCCCGGUAAACGGCGGCCGUAACUAUAACGGUCCUAAGGUAGCGAAAUUCCUUGUCGGGUAAGUUCCGACCUGCACGAAUGGCGUAACGACUUGGGCGCUGUCUCGACGGGGGACUCGGCGAAAUUGUAGUACCUGUGAAGAUGCAGGUUACCCGCGACUAGACGGAAAGACCCCAUGGAGCUUUACUGUAGCCUGGUAUUGGACUUUGGUAUGGGAUGUAUAGGAUAGGUGGGAGACAUGGAAGCCGGUACGCUAGUAUCGGUGGAGUCGCCGGUGGAAUACCACUCUUUCCAUACUAGGGUUCUAACUAGCGGCCAUAAUCUGGUCAUAGGACAGUAUCUGGUGGGCAGUUUGACUGGGGCGGUCGCCUCCUAAAAGGUAACGGAGGCGCCCAAA
rnacentral:rRNA from 1 species